rnacentral:lncRNA from 1 species
GUCCCCGCAGCACUACCCCCUUAUCUGUCACACCUGGACUCUUUCCCUUACCUGCGCCACUGUCCUGAGAAGCAGGGUCUGUACAGCUCCAGCAACACUGUUCCGUUUCUCCAGGAUUCUCCAGAUCCUCCUUAGCUUCCUGCCUCUGGACUCUGGUUGUGCGACUUUCGCUGCUCCGCUGCCCAUUGGUUAAAGGGCUGCUCUGGGGAUCACUCUAAGAGACGCAAUUACGGGGGUUGAACUUUGCAAACCCUAAGAUAGAGGACAACAGAAAGACGACGGCACCGGUACGUUACUCUUUAUUACUGUUACCUUGGCUAAUGCGCCCUCACGCGUUGGUCCCAAGACGCUCCAUUUGCGCAGGCGCUCUGCGGUGUUUACAGAGGCCGCGAGGACCCGCGUUUGCACAUGCGCUUUCCGCCAGGGGCUACCGCUGCUCGCGGCGGGACACAGCGCGGAGCUGCCCCGAAGACCUCUGGUGGUUGUGGCCGCUCGGUCACCACGGCUCUCCGAGGCCCCUGUCGGCUCCGCUUCGGUGGAGGCCUCUCCACAGCCCCAGAGCAGCGGAGAUCUGAGGGGCGGCAGGAGGAGGUACAGCGCGGUUGCUAUCCUCCGCCUCUCCCGGGAGUGCAGCAUCUCAGCCACCGCUCCACAGAACCUCGGGGGCCGAUUCUGGCGCCCAUCACGGCGGACGUGGCGGCCGCAGGGAAUUCGACCGGAACGGCCCACGCACUGCCUCCUGGGAGCCUUAGUUCACGACUAGAACCUUUCUAGAGUUGGAAAGCUGUAAAAAACUACAUUUCCCAGAAGCACAAGAGGCAGAGUCGCCGAAGAAGGCCUCGAGGCAUGUUGGGAGAUGGAGUUUGGGGACGGUAGUGGGUUUGCGCAGGCGGGGCGACGCUCGCUGUGAAGCGGUGGAGCCCAGUGCUCUGAGCCUAGGCUCGUGGGUUCGAGGGAACAUGGGAAGACUACCUCUCCCAACAGCCUAGUAGAUGUAAUCUCACCAAUGGGAACGUGGGCAGAGGAAUGGGAAUUCACUUCAGCUCCAAGGCAAUUAGGUGUCGGAGUGAAUCUUUUCCCCACAGCCUCCACUUUCAUCUUCUCUCCCAUCAGAGCAGUUGGGAUCAAAAAACUGAAAUGACAGAGCUGUUAGGUAGAAGCAAUUUGGUUCUGAGUCACUGCUGGAGGAGAAUACUGUACCAACACUGUCUACCCCAUAUUGUGAUAUGAGUGAGAAAGAAACAUUCGUUGUGUUAAACCACUGAGAUUUGAAGGUUUAUUUGGUACCAGAUGUGGUGGAUUGAAGAUGGCCAGACAUCCUUUGACACUCCUUUCAUUGAAGGCUGGGAUCUGUGUCCCCUGUUCUUGAGUCUGGGCUGGACUAUGACUGCUUUGGUCAACAGAAAGCAGAGAAAGUGAUGCUGUACC